GACGAACGCUGGCGGCGUGCUUAACACAUGCAAGUCGAACGGAAAGGCCCUGCUUUUGUGGGGUGCUCGAGUGGCGAACGGGUGAGUAACACGCGUGUAACCCGCCCUUGACUUUGGGAUAACUUCAGGAGACUGGGGCUAAUACCGGAUAGGAGCUCUUGCAGCAUGUGGGUGGAUGGAAAGAUUCGGCGGUUGGGGAUGGACUCGCGGGUUAUCAGCUGGUUGGUGGGGUAGGUGCUUACCAAGGUUUUGACGGCUAGCCGACCUUAGAGGGUGACCGGCCACAUGGGGACUGCGGUACGGACCAGACUCCUACCGGAGGCAGUAGUCGGGAGUAUUGCGCAGUGGGCGGAAGUCUGAUGCAGCAACGCCGCGUGCGGGAUGAUGGCCUUCGGGUUAUAAACCGCUUUCGCCUGUGACGAAGCGUGAGUGACGGUAAUGGGUAAAGAAGCACCGGCUAACUACGUG
rnacentral:rRNA from 1 species